AUUGAACGCUGGCGGCAUGCCUUACACAUGCAAGUCGAACGGUAACGGGCCUUCGGGUGCCGACGAGUGGCGAACGGGUGAGUAAUGUAUCGGAACGUACCUUUCAGUGGGGGAUAACGUAGCGAAAGUUACGCUAAUACCGCAUAUUCUGUGCGCAGGAAAGCAGGGGACCUUCGGGCCUUGCGCUGAUUGAGCGGCCGAUAUCAGAUUAGCUAGUUGGUGAGGUAAAGGCUCACCAAGGCGACGAUCUGUAGCGGGUCGUAGAGGAUGAUCCGCCACAAUGGAACUGAGACACGGUCCAGACUCCUACGGGAGGCAGCAGUGGGGAAUUUUGGACAAUGGGGGCAACCCUGAUCCAGCCAUGCCGCGUGAGUGAAGAAGGCCUUCGGGUUGUAAAGCUCUUUCGGCCGGGAAGAAAUCGUAUCAGCUAAUACCUGGUGCGGAUGACGGUACCGGCAUAAGAAGCACCGGCUAACUACGUGCCAGCCGCCGCAGUAAAAC
rnacentral:rRNA from 1 species